rnacentral:rRNA from 1 species
AUGAGCUCCAGGCACCCACAGCUUCACUUCAUCCUGCUGCUGCUCACAUACUACCGCCCCACCUACAACGCAGCCAAAGGCAGCAAUGGGAUUACAGUCCAGUGCCUCCCUGAUCAGGCUUUGUCUCUACUUCAGCUGAAGCACUCCUUCCACAACCCCGACCUCUCCUCGUGGCAGCAUGGUACGGACUGUUGCCACUGGGAGGGUGUUGGCUGCGACAGGGCCUCUGGUCAGGUGAUCACUUUGGACCUAAGUUAUCGUAGCCUGCAGAGCACCGGUGGUCUCAGCUCAGCGCUAUUCAACCUCACCUCUCUUAGAAGCCUAAGCCUCUCUGGUAACGACUUCAACCAUGCCAGCCUUCCUAGUUUCGGGUUUGAGCGGCUGACCGAGUUACUCAGUCUCGAGUUGUCUGAAACAGGGUUGUCUGGUCAGAUACCUAUUGGAAUUGCGCACCUCGAGAAAUUGCUUACGCUUGAUAUUUCCUACAAUGAUUAUUUGUAUCUUCGAGAGCCACAGUUUCAAACACUCGUAGCAAACCUGACCAAUCUUAGGGAUCUGUAUCUUAAUGAAGUGGACAUCUCCAGCAGUGGACCAACUUGGUCCGUUGCUAUUGCGGACUCUGUUCCUCUACUGCAGAAUCUUGACUUGUCUGGAUGCGAUCUAUCUGGUCAUAUCCAUCAUUCAUUCUCCCGACUCCAUUUUCUAGCAACAAUCAACCUCAGGGCAAAUAGUAUUUCUGAGAUUCCUUCAUUCUUCGCAGAAUUCUCUUUCUUAACCUCUUUUGUCUUCUCAGCAAAUUAUUUGCAAGGACAGUUUCCAACAAAGAUCUUCCUGCUAAAAAAUCUCACAUAUCUUGAUGUGUCCUACAACCCCAGACUUUCCGUGCAACUACCAGAUUUCCCACCAGGAAAAAAUAUUUUGGAACACUUAGAUCUAGAGGAGACAAACCUUUCUAGUGUGAUGCCAGACUCUUUUGUUCAUCUCAAGUCACUGAAAUUCUUGGGCCUUAGCAACAUAGGAUCUCCCAGGCAGACGUUUACUUCCAUUGCUAACCUUACAUCCCUAAAUACAUUGUGGCUGUCGGGAUCAGGAAUAGAGAAGCCAAUGCUCUCUUCGAUUGGCAGCGCUAGGCAUAUGACAGACUUGAUGCUACAAGACUAUAAUUUAUCUGGGCCAAUCCCGUUGUGGAUCAGAAAUUGUACAAAUUUGAUGAGCUUAGAGCUCAUUGAUUGCAAUUUAUCUGGGGCAAUACCCACGUGGAUUGGGAACUUGACCAAGCUUACAAAUUUGGGCUUACAAGAUAAUAGGCUGAGCGGAAAAAUCCCAAAGGUUUUGUUCACUCUUCCGUCAUUGGGAAAACUAAAUUUAUUAUCAAAUGAACUAUGUGGUACCCUAGAAGAUAUUCCAGACCCCUUAUCUUCCUUCCUGUACUACAUCGACAUAAGCUCUAACAACUUGUCAAGUCAUAUACCCAAAUCUUUCUUUGAUCUUAUGAGACUUCAAGUUCUCAUGCUUGACUCAAAUCACUUUGAAGGCACAGUGGAACUUAGCCUUCUUUGGAAGGUGAAGGCAUUGGAUAUAUUGCUGCUCUCCAAUAAUAUGUUAUCAGUCAUAGAUGUUGAGGAUGGCUAUCCAUUUCCUUAUAUCCCACACAUCACAAGACUAGGACUAGCGUCUUGCUACCUUACAAAAAUUCCAGUCGCAUUGAGAUAUACAAAUGAGUUGUUUUUGUUGGACCUUUCACAUAACCAAAUAGAUGGAGCCAUACCAAGUUGGAUCUGGGUGAAUUGGAAGGAUACCAUGUCCUGGCUGGACCUCUCAAACAAUAUGUUCACUAGCCUUGAAAACUCUCCAUCUGUCGUUCAUAUGCACAAUUUAGGAUAUCUCAAUCUUAGUUCCAACAAACUGCAUGGCAGUGUACCUAUACCACUCACAGCUAGCAAUUCCAUGGCUUUUUUAGAUUACUCAAACAAUAGCUUCACUUCUAUUAUACAUGACUUUGGUCGGUACCUUCCCUACAAGACCACCUACCUUGAUUUGUCCAGGAAUAAAUUAAGUGGUCACAUACCAAGGUCUAUUUGUACCCAACAAGAUCUUGAGAUACUGGACUUAUCAUACAACAAUUUCAGCGGUGUGGUGCCAUCCUGUCUAAUGCAAGGUAGCAAUAGCUUGAGUACAUUGAAAUUGAGAGAGAAUCGUUUCCAUGGGAUGCUGCCUGAAAAUAUUGGAGAAGGAUGUAUGCUUCAGACAAUAGAUUUGAACAACAAUCUAAUUGAAGGGAAAAUACCCAGAUCACUAUCAAAUUGCCAAGGCCUAGAACUCUUUGAUGUUGGUAACAAUCAAAUUAUCGGUUCUUUUCCAUCUUGGUUGGGUGUUCUUCCACGUCUUCGAGUUCUUGUCUUGAGAUUCAACCAACUAAACGGCACCAUAAGGGAUUUUAAAGGCGAUCAUACAAUCAACAACUACUUUGCAAAUUUGCAAAUACUUGAUUUGGCCUCCAACAACUUCUCUGGAAACCUACCAGAAGGAUGGUUUAAUGAACUGAAAGCAAUGAUGGAAAAUGUCAGUGAUGGGGGAGAAGUUCUAGGACAUGAGACAUAUUCAGGUGCACGAUUUUAUCAAGAUACUGUUACCAUAACAUUCAAAGGGUUUGAUCUUAGUUUCACCAAAAUCUUAAGCACUUUCAAUGCAAUAGAUUUCUCAAAUAACUCAUUUGAUGGUCCUGUUCCGGAGUCAAUUGGGAGGCUUGUUGCCCUGCGCGGACUUAACAUGUCAUACAACAACUUCAUGGGACAAAUUCCAUUUCAGUACAGAAACUUGUCUCAGCUGGAAGCAAUGGAUCUCUCUUGGAACCAGAUAACAGGGGAAAUACCACAGGAGUUAACCUCACUUACUUCUCUUGAAUGGUUGAAUCUUUCGUACAACAACUUGUAUGGAAGAAUCCCGCAAGGAAACCAGUUCUCAACAUUUUCAGACAGUUCAUUUGAAGGUAAUGCAGGUCUCUGUGGAGUUCCACUCUCCAAACACUGUGACAAUCAAAGUUCAAUUUCUCCAACUGGAGUGGCUCCUCCGGAAUCUGAGGGUUUGUGGCAGGACAAACUCGGCAUUAUCCUUUUUUUCGCAUUUGUUGGCUUGGGAUUUGGAGUCGGCUUUGCAUUGUCAUUCUUGUUGCGACUGUAUUGCCGCGUGGAAGGAUGGAUCUGCAAGCAAGCAUGGAUCCAUAUGUAA